GCUAAGACUGGAUAGGAAGAUAAAAGGCAUCUUUUAUCUUUUAAAAGACCUAGUAAUAGGUAUGCUUUAGGAGGGGCUUGCGCCAUAUUAGUUAGUUGGUAGGGUAAUGGCCUACCAAGACGAUGAUGUGUAGCUGGACUGAGAGGUUGAACAGCCACAUUGGGACUGAGACACGGCCCAAACUCCUACGGGAGGCAGCAGUAGGGAAUUUUCGGCAAUGGAGGAAACUCUGACCGAGCAACGCCGCGUGAAUGACGAAGUACUUCGGUAUGUAAAGUUCUUUUAUCAAGGAAGAAAAGCAAAUGGCGAACCAUUUGUUUGCCGGUACUUGAUGAAUAAGCCCCGGCUAAUUAUGUGCCAGCAGCCGCGGUAAGACAUAAGGGGCAAGUGUUAUCCGGAAUUAUUGGGCGUAAAGGGUGCGUAGGCGGUCUAGUAAGUCAGUGGUGUAAUGGCAACGCUUAACGUUGUCCGGCUAUUGAAACUGCUAAACUUGAGUUAGAUAGAGGCGAGUGGAAUUCCAUGUGUAGCGGUAAAAUGCGUAAAUAUAUGGAGGAACACCAGAGGCGUAGGCGGCUCGCUGGGUCUUAACUGACGCUGAGGCACGAAAGCGUGGGGAGCAAACAGGAUUAGAUACCCUGGUAGUCCACGCCGUAAACGAUGAGUACUAAGUGUCGGGUUAAACCGGUACUGAAGUUAACACAUUAAGUACUCCGCCUGAGUAGUACGUACGCAAGUAUGAAACUUAAAGGAAUUGACGGGACUCCGCACAAGCGGUGGAUCAUGUUGUUUAAUUCGAAGAUACCCGAAAAACCUUACCAGGUCUUGACAUGUUUUUGCAAAAUGAUAGUAAUAUCGUGGAGGUUACCAGAAACACAGGUGGUGCAUGGUUGUCGUCAGCUCGUGU
rnacentral:rRNA from 1 species